UUGCUAUUGCUAUUGCUAUAUGGAACCAUUAUUUAUUUUGCUUUACUGUGGUUCAUCACUUGAUGUGUGGAGACCUCUACACAAAGUGCCUGUCUUGCCAUCCCAUCCCAUUUUUCUGCAUAUUGUCAAAGGGGGGAAUACAAGACACAGCAGAAAGCUGGCAUCCCCCAAUGUGGCUUUUACCUUUGACAUGCUUUGAAGCUUGGGAUGCAGCAAUGCAGAGUCCCUUUUGCCAGGCAAUGGCUGGAGGAGUGCAAGACAGUGGGGAUGGUGGAGGCACGUGUUCUAAGCGGCAGCCAGCAAGAAGCACAAGAAGCCUAGAGCUGGCACAUUUCUGGGCUGGUCUGAGCCGCUCUCUCUAUGGUUUUGGCAACAGCCGCAGCACAAAACCCAGACUACAGCGGCAGCGGAAUUCAGAUGACAUAAUGCCACCUUCAAACCUCAGGUUGGAAUAGAGAAACUCACUACAAAUCGAAGGUUCAGAUUAUGGAUUAGGCUCAAAAACCUAGGGUCACUUUUGAGACAAAAGAGCGGUUUCGCGCAUUUGAGCAACCCCAAAAUGGAACCUCUGCACCCUUUGCCUCCAGUUUGGCAUUAUGUGUGAAGGCGGACAUAAUAAGAGACAAGCCUAGAUCACAAGAGAUAAGGAGAAAGGGUCGGAUCCAAACAACCUAUGAUAUGAUGAAACAAACCAAGAUUUGUUAAUUGUCCAUCAUGCCAAUCCAGGUCUGUUAGAUAAACCUUAGUUAAAAUAACUGCAGUUCUGCGUGAUAUCUAAACCUGCCCAAUAUAUAUAUAUCACAAUCUUAGAAAAAAUUGACACAACAGGUAGGAUGCUCCUGUGCAUAUAUACUUCAGAAUUAGAACCCAUUUUGUUCAAUGGAACUUACUUCCAAGUAAGUAUAUUUUGGAUUAUCUCACUGAAAAAACAUAUAUGGAUUAUCUCACUGAAAAAAGUAAUUUACUUCUGACGAAACAUGCAGAAGGUUGAGAUCUAUGUCAUAAUAAAAGGAGUUCAGAAUAGUCAUGAUGAAGUCCCUUUCUGGGAAAGACUUCUGCCUGAAACCUUAAAGAGUCAUCACGAGUCGGUGUAAACAAUACUGAGUUAGACGGACCAAUGGUCUGACUCAGUAUAAGGCAGCUUCCUAUGUCCCUAUGUCUAUAAUACAGUUAAAUCAUGAUGUACUAUAAUACAGUACAUAAUUGACUGCACCUUAAGCAAACUCCUCAGUCUCCAUCACAGUUUUUAGAAAGCGUGUUAAAUCUUGGCUUUUUACCCAGGCUUUUAUAUUAUUGUCUCUAUUGCUGCUUCUUUGUAUUUUGUACAGUUUUAAUGCUUGUAUUUUAAAUCUUAUUAAUCAGAUUUGUUAAUAUAUUUUUAAAUGAAAGGCAGUAUAUAAAUUUAACAAUAAAAUGAAUGAAUGAAUGAAUAAAAUGUGAUGUAAGUUUUAAAAUAUUUAAUACUUGUAAGUGAGGCCCAUUGUUGACCGGGCAUAGUCAUUUUGUAUUUAGUGCAUUCAGCUACUUUUAUGAAGGAUUGUUUAUGCCAAAUUUGGUAUCUGUACUUUAUUUUGCACAAAUAAAUCCACAAAACAAACAAACUCUUCAAAAUAUAUAAUGGAUACAACUUAUUAUAUAAGAAGAAUUUUUUAUUAACGUGCUUGCAGAAGGGAAGUAAAAGAACAGUUUGAAAUAUUCAUUUUAUUGAAUAAUUACCAUAUCUGGUCAAUUUGAAUCACAGUACAUUUGAAUCUGAGAAAGAUCUUCUGCUUCUGUUGGGCAUGAUGUCACAUUUGAAUUAUUGAACUGAUUAUUGGGUCUUAAAAGCUGUUCAGAACCAUAACAUAAAAUCUGGUGAUGAUCUUCUGCAUGCAAAAUUUCGUAACUGUAAGUAAUUGGGAAGUAUGACUUUCUGUCUCACAAACACACCCACAAACUCUUCAAAAUAUAGAAUAGAUUAACCAUUGCUUUAAGAGUAAAGCUAAAGUGUCUGAUACUCGUCUUGCUUCUCAAGCCCUAACUGUCUCUAUGCUGGUUACUUCCCCUGAGGACACAGAUUCCCACCGCAGGUCCCCAGAUGCUGUUGACUACAACUCCGAUCAUCAUCAGCCAUAAUGACCUUGGUUUGAAUUCUUGAUCUUAUGGAAAGUUAAAGGGUAAGGAACAAAGGGCCAUCAUCUCAUGAUCAACAGGAAGAGAAACCCUCUUGCUAUUCUGAUAUCAUCUGCAAGUGUUAUUUUUGUUGCAGCUCCAAAGAAUGGGAUUCUGGAAGCAAGAUUAUAAAACUUCAAUGCUCUGCAUUGUCUCAUGCCUCGGAUAAAGGUCCUUGUUGCUGAUUGAGUCAUGCAUUUUUCAUUUGUUAAUGUGCUUCAAGUAAAAUAGACAGCAAAAAGUGCUGAAACUCCA